rnacentral:rRNA from 1 species
AUUGAACGCUGGCGGCAUGCCUAACACAUGCAAGUCGAACGGCAGCACGGGGGUAGCUCUGGUGUCGAGUGGCGGACGGGUGAGUAAUACCUAGGAACGUGCCUGGUCGUGGGGGAUAACGUACCGAAAGUGACGCUAAUACCGCAUACGAUCUGAGGAUGAAAGCGGGGGAUCUUCGGACCUCGCGCGAUCGGAGGAGCCGAUGUCGGAUUAGCUAGUUGGUGGGGUAAAGGCCUACCAAGCCGACGAUCCGUAGCUGGUCUGAGAGGAUGAUCAGCCACACUGGAACUGAGACACGGUCCAGACUCCUACGGGAGGCAGCAGUGGGGAAUAUUGGACAAUGGGCGCAAGCCUGAUCCAGCCAUGCCGCGUGUGUGACGAAGGUCUUCGGGUUGUAAAGCGCUUUUGGAUGGAACGAAAAGCAGCAAGUUAAUACCUGGCGGUCAUGACGGUACCGAAAGAAUAAGCACCGGCUAACUACGUG